rnacentral:rRNA from 1 species
UACGUAGGGGGCAAGCGUUGUCCGGAUUUAUUGGGCGUAAAGAGCGUGUAGGCGGCCUGACAGGUCUGCUGUGAAAACUCGAGGCUCAACCUCGAGAUGUCGGCGGAAACCGUCUGGCUAGAGUCCGGAAGAGGAGAGUGGAAUUCCUGGUGUAGCGGUGAAAUGCGCAGAUAUCAGGAAGAACACCGAUGGCGAAGGCAGCUCUCUGGGACGGUACUGACGCUGAGGCGCGAAAGCGUGGGGAGCGAACAGG